rnacentral:rRNA from 1 species
UACGUAGGGUGCGAGCGUUAAUCGGAAUUACUGGGCGUAAAGCGUGCGCAGGCGGUUCGUUGUGUCGGCGGUGAAAGCCCCGGGCUCAACCUGGGAAUGGCCGUUGAAACUGGCGAACUGGAGUGUGGCAGAGGGGGUGGAAUUCCGCGUGUAGCAGUGAAAUGCGUAGAGAUGCGGAGGAACACCGAUGGCGAAGGCAGCCCCCUGGGCUGACACUGACGCCUCAGGCACGAAAGCGUGGGGAGCAAACAGG